UUCCUUCCAGCCGGCGAGGUACUUGUACCUCGACGGCUGGAAGGGUGUCCUUCCAGUCGACGAGGUACUUGUACCUCGACGGCUGGAAGGGUGUCCUUCCGGUGGACGAGGUACAAGUACCUCACCGGCCGGAAGGAA
rnacentral:miRNA from 1 species